UACGGAGGGUGCGAGCGUUAAUCGGAAUUACUGGGCGUAAAGAGUGCGUAGGUGGUUAAUUAAGUUAUCUGUGAAAUCCCUGGGCUUAACCUGGGCAGGUCAGAUGAUACUGAUUGACUCGAGUAUGGGAGAGGGUAGUGGAAUUUCCGGUGUAGCGGUGAAAUGCGUAGAGAUCGGAAGGAACACCAGUGGCGAAGGCGGCUACCUGGCCUAAUACUGACACUGAGGCACGGAAAAGCGA
rnacentral:rRNA from 1 species